rnacentral:rRNA from 1 species
UAUGGGAUACCUAAAAUUUCCAUGGCAGACUGCUCAGUAACACAUGAUCAACUUACCCUAUAGAGAAAAAUACCCUCGGGAAUGUAUCAUAGCGAUUUAUAUUAAUAGACUAUGGUACCCCGAAACUGAGGAUAAUGUUUCAUACUUGAGAAGGCUUGGAAAAGUUUCUCAAUGAAAUGGGUAAGAAAAAUGGUUCUUAUCUGCUAUAGGAUAGGAUCGUGGUCGAUUAUGGUUGUUGGUGAGGUAACGGCUCACCAAGCCGAUAAUCGAUAGGGGCCGUGAUAGCGGGAGCCCCGAGAUGGGUACUGAGACAACGACCCAGGCCUUACGAUGCGCAGCAGGCGCGAAACCUCCGCAAUACACGUAAAGUGUGACGGGGUUACCCAAAGUGUUCAAUAUUGAACUGUGGCAGGUGAGUAAUGUUCCCUGCUAUAAAGGACAGGGCAAGGCUGGUGCCAGCCGCCGCGGUAAAACCAGCUCUUCAAAUGGUCGGGAUAAUUAUUGGGCUUACAGUGUCCGUACCCGGUUUAGUAAGUUCCUGGUAAAAUCGGGUAGCUUAACUAUCCGUAUGCUAGGAAUACUGCUAUA